rnacentral:rRNA from 1 species
AAACUGGGAUAUUGGACAUGGGGGCACCCUGAUCCAGCCACUGCCGCGUGUGUGAUAGAAGGCCUUUUGGUUGUAAAGCACUUUAAGCAGUGAAGAAGACUCCAUGGUUAAUACCCAUGGACGAUGACAUUAGCUGCAGAAUAAGCACCGGCUAACUCUGUGCCAGCAGC